rnacentral:rRNA from 1 species
ACGGCUCAUUACAACAGCAAUAAUAUACUCAAUCUUUAUCCUAAACGGAUAACUGCGAUAAUUUUGGAGCUAAUACGUGCAGAAAAGCGCUGACCGCAAGGGACGCGCGCAUUUAUUAGAUUAAGACCAAUAUGGGUUAAUAGCCCUAUUGGCGAACUCUGAAUAACUAUCGCUGAUCGCAUGGUCUUGUACCGGCGACGUAUUGAUUGAGUUUCUGCCUUAUCAACUAUUGAUGACAGCGUAUGUAACUGUCAUGGUUGUUACGGGUAACGGAGAAUCAGGGUUCGACUCCGGAGAGGGAGCCUGAGAAACGGCUACCACAUCCAAGGAAGGCAGCAGGCGCGUAAAUUACCCACUCUCAAUACGAGGAGGUAGUGACUAUCAAUAACGAGACAGGACCCUUCGGGUCUUGUUAUUGGAAUGGGAACAAUUUAA